rnacentral:piRNA from 1 species
UCAGAUGAUGAUGUCUAGACCUGGGAGGAGC